AUUGCCCAUAGUACAGCUGUGUUGUUUCUUACUGCUGUAGUUUGUUCUUUAAAUCAAACCACAACCAGUCCCCAGACUACUGUGAGUGCUGUAGUUAAGGUGAUAAAUUCAUUGCGCUGGAAAUGAUUACCUAUGAUGUAGGACAGGAACUAAGUUAUCAGCUCCUUCUGAGUAUAAUAGAAAGGAAAGAAUUAAUUCUUUCAACAAAUACCACUUCAUACAAUGUUGUGCAUUAGCAUCAUGAGAGGAUCCUAAGGUUUUUCUGAUGCCCUCAUAUGAGGAAAAACAUCUUCAAGUUGUUAAUGACAACUUUGUGCACAUGUUUUAAAAUCUAUUUGUGUGUCUUCUCAUAACUACAGUUCUUGAGGUCGAAAUACAUUGUUCUGUGUAUUUACAUUCUGCUAAAUUUUUUAUUUUUUCCUCACAGCAUUUGUUUGACUACAUUGUGAGACAGGUGCCUUUCCUGAGUUACAUGAACAAAUAAGAUAUGAGUCACUUUCUUGUACGUGUAUCAAUGCUCAUUUGUCACCUUCUUGUGAAUUCACUGAGUUUUUGAGAGGUUCUUUAAGAGUUUUCACCCCAUCAGCACAGCACUUGAAUAUCCAAAUCUGUGAGUUGGAAGGCUGCACUGCGUCUGCCGCUUGUUGAUGAAUUCAAGUGACUCUGCUCCAAUCUUCUGCUUUUUCUGUCAUGAGAUGUAUCCACGUACUGAGCAAGCUGCUGCUCUUGACUGGGUUAUUAAGUGUGAGAUCUUUCUUCCAGGAAGUCAUUGCAUACCACUGGAAAACUUAAUCUCAUCCGAUCUCUCACUACCACUGCCUGAAUGUUGCAGUUUCUCUUAUCUCACUUCCUGAUUGCUAUCAUCGUCUUGAUCAAAGGAUACCACUGGCUGCCUUGGCCACAAGGACACACUGCUGGCUCAGGGCCAACCUCUUGGCCACCAGGACACAUCAAUCCUUCUUUGCAGAGCUUCUUUACCUCAGACCAUCCCCUAACCUGUACUGAUGCAUGUAGUUAUUCUUCUCUCGGUGUAGGACUCUGCACUUGCCCUUGUUGAACUUCAUAAGGCUCCUCUUGACCCAAUGCUUCUGUCUGUCCAGUUCCUACAGCUUCCAGAAAAUGAAUACCUACAGUGUUUGAUGAAGUGAGUUUUGUAAAGUUCAGAGAAACUCAUCCUCAUGUUUAGAGACAUUUGUAUAUAAAACAUGAAGGAAAUUCCAAUCUGAUUUCAUUCCUAGAAUGCCAGUGAAUGUGAACUGGAACUUGGGAAAACCGUAUGUGUAGGGACAUUUUACAAUACUUGUUUCCUGAGCUACACUAAAUACAGUAUGUAGGCAUAUACAAAGGUAUAUGCCCCCAUAUGAGAGCACUUCAUAUGAGAUGUGAGCAGGUACAGAAGUGACUUUUCCAAGAUUUGAUCCUCGCUCUUGUAUGUUACCUAUGAAACAUGAGAUUGUACUAUCUCUAGAAGCAUUGCAGCUACCAAAGGUUACAGUGUGCUUUGGAGGAAAUCCUGCAUGGUGCUGUGUUAGCAUGCUCAGUGUACAAUCAAUCACAUAAAAUUAAACUUCUAAGGCUGAAUCCUAUUAUUCCUAAAGCUUAUACUUUCAAAGCAAAGUGGUGGCAAAAUGCAUGCAGUCAUUGUAGUUCCCACCAUGGUAUUUCUCUAAACAUUAGUUGAAGAAACAAUUAUUUGAUCAUAUUCUAAAAUGUGUCUUAAAACCAUUUAACGAACUUCAGAUUUAAAACCUGGCAAAACUCUUUGGAUUCUUGUACUAAAGUUAAUACGGAAGCCAUAAGCCCAUUAUAAUGAAGUUUAUUCAAAUUCUUGAGCACAGAGUAUACAUAACAUUUCAGUACUCCCAAUGAGAUUUUUAUGGUAUAUAUCUAUAAAUUAAGCAUCCAUUGCAUAAAACUGCAUUCAUUUCUCUAUCAGCAUACUAUAUAAAUUAUCACAGAAACAGAUGAGCCAACAAAAUAGUCCUGAAUACGUUUAACAGUGGUGGGCAGAUAAGCAGGUACUGACGUUAACUUCAUGGUAAGCAGCUCUAAAUGAAUCUCUCUUGAAUUUACUUAAUUAAGAAGCUGAAAAGAAAGGAAACAUGAUUAAAAGCUGAAAAAUGCUUAUAAAAUGCAUUACAAUUAUUUCAAGAGAAUAAACAAGGACUUCAAAACAUUCAUUUGAAAAGCCAUUCAAUGUUUGUGUAAUAAUCUCUUAAAUUUUUAUAUCUCAUUAGAUAAUUACUAAGUAAGCAUGAAAGUCAUCAAAUAAAAACCUGAGUGACUGAAACUUAUAUUUUCAUAUUUAAAACAUUAAAAAGCAAAAUGCACUUCAAACAUCUGUUCUCUUCAAUCAAGCUCUGCACCUGCUCUUACUACUUAAAAGUAAAAGCUACGUCUCAUGGGAGAUGUUUCAGAUAUAUUUUAGUCCUUCUUCCCUUGUAGAAGUGGCCCUGAAGUGGGGAGGAUAUAAAGGACUUAGCAAGGCUACGGAUUCUUACGUUCUUAAUGUUUUAAUAAAUUAAGGAGUUUCAGAUGACAUUGCUGCUUCUUCAUCCCUGGAACAAAACCUUGUAUUU